rnacentral:rRNA from 1 species
UACGUAGGGUGCAAGCGUUGUCCGGAAUUAUUGGGCGUAAAGAGCUCGUAGGCGGUCUGUCGCGUCUGCUGUGAAAACUCAGGGCUUAACCCUGAGCUUGCAGUGGGUACGGGCAGACUAGAGUGCGGUAGGGGGAGACUGGAAUUCCUGGUGUAGCGGUGAAAUGCGCAGAUAUCAGGAGGAACACCGGUGGGCGAAGG